CCCUUAGACGUUCUGGGCCGCACGCGCGCUACACUGACCAGUGCAACAAGCAUCCGUCCUUGGCCGACAGGCUCGGGCAAUCUUUGAACGCUGGUCGUGAUGGGGAUAGACUUUUGCAAUUUUUGGUCUUCAACGAGGAAUUCCUAGUAAACGCAAGUCAUCAGCUUGCAUUGAUUACGUCCCUGCCCUUUGUACACACCGCCCGUCGCACCUACCGAUUGAAUGGUCCGGUGAAAUCUUCGGAUCUGAGAGAUGUCUGAUUAAUUUCGGACGCCUUUUGGAAAAGUUGCUUAAACCUUACCAUUUAGAGGAAGGUGAAGUCGUAACA
rnacentral:rRNA from 1 species